GUGGGGUGUGGCAGCAUGCACGUGUGGCCCCAGCUACUCAGGAGGCUGAUGCAGGAGGAAAGCCUGAGCCCAGGAACUCUGGGCUGUGCAGACUGGGUGUCCCACUAAAUUUAGCAUCAAAAUGGUGACCUCCUGGGAAUGGAGGAACAUCAGGUUGCCUAAGGAGGAGUGAACAGAACCAGGUUAGAAAUGAAGCAUCUCAAAACUCCAUGCUGAUCAGAGUGGGAUCGUGCCUGUGAGAACCUACUGCACCACAGCCGGGGCAGCAUAGAGCAUAGAAAGAUCUGUUUCU
rnacentral:SRP_RNA from 1 species